rnacentral:rRNA from 1 species
CGCCAGACUCCUACGGGAGGCAGCAGUGGGGAAUAUUGCACAAUGGGGGAAACCCUGAUGCAGCGACGCCGCGUGAGUGAAGAAGUAUUUCGGUAUGUAAAGCUCUAUCAGCAGGAAAGAAAAUGACGGUACCCGACUAAGAAGCCCCGGCUAACUACGUGCCAGCAGCCGCGGUAAUACGUAGGGGGCAAGCGUUAUCCGGAUUUACUGGGUGUAAAGGGGGCGCAGACGGCAGCGCAAGCCAGGAGUGAAAGCCCGGGGCCCAACCCCGGGACUGCUCUUGGAACUGCGCGGCUGGAGUGCAGGAGGGGCAGGCGGAAUUCCUGGUGUAGCGGUGAAAUGCGUAGAUAUCAGGAGGAACACCGGUGGCGAAGGCGGCCUGCUGGACUGCGACUGACGUUGAGGCCCGAAAGCGUGGGGAGCAAACAGGAUUAGAUACCCGGGUAAG